GCAUCCAUAGAGCAGUAGUUUAGCUCACUCCCCUCCCAUCUACCGGGCAAGGGAGAGACCCGGGUGCAAAUCCCGGUGGAUGCA